rnacentral:rRNA from 2 species
CCUUCGGGAGGGCGUUUACCACGGUGUGAUUCAUGACUGGGGUGAAGUCGUAACAAGGUAACCCUAGGGGAACCUGGGGUUGGAUCACCUCCUUA